AAAGUGGCGAAAGGGCGAGUAAUGCGAUCGAACGUACCCCAAGGUGGAGGAUAGCGUCGAGAAAUCGGCAGUAAUACUCCAUGUGCUCUUCGGAGGAAAGCUUUGGCGCCUUGGGAGCGGCGAUCGUCCUAUCAGGUAGUUGGUGAGGUAACGGCUCACCAAGCCGAAGACGGGUAGCGGGUGUGAGAGCAUGACCCGCCGCAUCGGAACUGAGACACUGUCCGGACUCCUACGGGAGGCUGCAGCGACGAAUCUUCCGCAAUGGGCGCAAGCCUGACGGAGCAAUGCCGCGUGUGGGAUGAAGCAUCUUCGAUGUGUAAACCACUGUCAGAUUCUAGGAACACUGACCAGAAUCAGAGGAAGGGCCGGCUAACCUCGUGCCAGCAGCCGCGGUAAUACGAGGGGCCCGAGCGUUAAUCAGAAUCACUGGGCUUAAAGCGUGCGCAGGCGGUCCAGCAAGCGUCUUGUGAAAUCCCUCGGCUCAACCGGGGAAGUGCAGGGCGAACUGCUGGACUUGAGGCAGGUAGGGGCUGAUGGAACCAUGGGUGGAGCGGUGAAAUGCGUAGAUAUCCAUGGGAACGCCGAUGGGGAAGCCGAUCAGCUGGGCCUGUCCUGACGCUCAGGCACGAAAGCGUGGGGAGCAAACAGGA
rnacentral:rRNA from 1 species